AUGCCCAGAUUGUUGCCCAGUUUCCUUCUGGAAGUCACUCUCGCCUUGCCAGCAGUGAAGAGAGGAUUCCCUGGUAACGGACACAACCCAGAGAUAGGAAACCCCCAGGAAACAGGCUGUAAGAGACAGAAGGCAGAAACCAGAGACGGAGCAGGCCCAGGGCGAGCUCCAGGGAGAGACCCCGUCUCAGCGAACCAGAGCUCCGGGCCGCAGGAGCCCAGCGGGCAGCAGCGCGGCAAGCCGGGGAAGACUGCCGGCCCCUUGCCCCACUGUGGGCGGGAGGGGUCCCCAGGAGCAAGUUGCCGGAGCUCUACUGGUGUCAGGUGUCCUGGAAGCCAUUGGCCUGAAUCUUCUAGAAUUAGUUUUGAAUCAAAUACUUCAAUCAACAACAACAACAACAACAACAAACAAACAAAAAAAACCAAAUACUUCUACGUGGGGAGAUGUCCCCACGUCCUGCCCAGGCUUCAAAGCCUUGCUUCCUCUUCCCUGAGGGCCCGUCCCCCUACUCCCCCGUGCAGCCACCCGUCAGUAUGACCCUUUCCCCAGCACCUAAUUCACUCUGCUUCUAUACUGGCGACUUGAUGUCACAUCGUCUUUUCCACUAGAUCCUGGAGAGCUAAGCUGGGCAUCUGGUGCAUAUGUCAGUAUGAACCACCCCAGCCUAGACCAGUGCGCGCAGUGUUGGGGGAAUAGAAGAAGAUUCACUUAGAUGGAGCCAAUGGGCUUGUUCACCUCCGGACAGACAGAGCCUCAGUUGAAUUAGAUUUCACCCAGCACAUUCAGAUGACACCCUUACCCAAUUAGGAGGUGAAUUUUGGGGAAAGGUGCAUAUGAUCCAGACUGGGAGGCUGAGGGGUGCUAACUUUUAUUUCAGAGUCGGUGGGGGGAACCGUGAGCUCCUAAGAAAGCUGCGACUAGUGGUGGUGGUGGAGGUGGUAGUGGAGGGGGGUGGACUCUGAACAUUCCUAAGUCCUGUCCCAAAUCACUUCAACUCCCUCUCUCCCUAAUAACCUCCUCCCUUCAGCUGGGUUCCGCCUCAUUAUACAGCCAUAAGGGCCUCAAACCGGCCGGUGCUCCACUGGCCUCUCAUUUCCCACACUCCCAGGCAGUUCCACGCCUUCUCCUCUCCCUUGCGCUCCUCCCCUUUCCGGGAGCCUCGUGCCCGGGGUAGCGCCGGGCGGGAUUCGGUGCCGAAAGGGGCGGGUCCGGGACCAACCCCCCCCCCCCCAACCCAGGGGCCGGCGAGAUAUAAGGCACAAGGCGGGCAGGGGCUCGGUCCA
rnacentral:lncRNA from 1 species